CCGUGUGGUAAUUAAUCGACUUUCUCGUAUUUACCGUGUACUAUUUUUUGGGUAAUCUAUUCCAGUGAAACUAAUACAGCUGAAGAUGAAUAUUGUCUAGUCUAUCUGCAAGUAAGCUUUCAAGCAGUAUACAAAAUUUUGAACACUUGUGUCAGUUUUGUAUUUAACUUUGAAAUCGAUUAGUGCCGAUCAUGAAAUAAAUAUUAAUAAUGUAAAAUUGUAGAAAAAUGUAUCCGAUAUUAUUGGAUGUAUUUGGAAGCAUUGAACUUGUUAAAUGUAAGGACAGAUUAAAUAGGGACAUAGGGCCAAUUCCUUACAGCUUUAUUAGUUGAGGAUUAAAAGAUUCCCGCUGAAAUUAAAUUCGCGGGGGAAGGUUCAGUGUGACUUUGUUAUUUAGUUGAUAUUAUUGUGGAAGAUGAAAGAAAAAUGAAAAACCUGAUAUGGUAUGAAUGUAGAAGUUGUAAAUGAAUUAGAGUAUGCAGAUUUAAAAAAUAUAACCCUCAAGAUAUAUUUUCACAAAACUUUUAUUUAGAGUGAUUUUAUUACGUAUUUUUUCAUUAAUAAUAUUGGGCAAUUCCAUUAAAAUUUAUCAUGAUGUUAAUAUAUUUAUUUAAGCAUU